rnacentral:rRNA from 1 species
GACGAACGCUGGCGGCGUGCUUAACACAUGCAAGUCGAACGGUUAAGCGCCUUCCUUUUUGGUGGGUGUGGAUGAGUGGCGAACGGGUGAGUAACACGUGAGUAACCUGCCCCCUUCUUCUGGAUAACCGCAUGAAAGUGUGGCUAAUACGGGAUAUUCUGGGUCUGUCGCAUGAUGGGUCUGGGAAAGAUCUUGUUUCGGUGGGGGAUGGGCUCGCGGCCUAUCAGCUUGUUGGUGGGGUGAUGGCCUACCAAGGCGGUGAGGGGUAGCCGGCCUGAGAGGGUGGACGGUCACACUGGGACGGAGACACGGCCCAGACUCCUACGGGAGGCAGCAGUGGAGAAUAUUGCACAAUGGGCGCAAGCCUGAUGCAGCGACGCCGCGGGAGGGAUGGAGGCCUUCGGGUUGUGAACCUCUUUCGCCAGUGAAGCAGGCCUGCCUCGUUUGUGGGUGGGUUGACGGUAGCUGGAUAAGAAGCGCCGGCUAACUACGUG